UUAGGCCCGUUCCCUCGAGCGCCUGGGGGCUACUGCUACCUCUACGUUGCCAUCGACAAGUUCACCAAAUGGGCGGAGAUAAAAGCUGUCUGCACCAUCCCGACCGGAUCUGCGGUCAAGUUCAUCAAGGGUCUCGUGAGCCGGUUCGGGGUCCCUAAUCGCAUCAUCACCGACAACGGCUCGCAGUUCACUAGCAAUCUCUUCAAGACAUAUUGUGCUAACCUUGGAACGCAGAUCUGCUAUACUUUGGUGGCACAUCCUAGGAGCAAUGGUCAGGACGAACGCGCCAACGCGAAGGUCCUGAGAGGCCUCAAGACCAGGACCUUCAGGAAGAAGCUCGAGGCUUGCGGCAGGGGCUGGCACGAUGAGCUCCAGUCUGUGCUGUGA
rnacentral:rRNA from 1 species